rnacentral:rRNA from 1 species
UGCAGUCGAGCGGAUGACGGGAGCUUGCUCCUUGAUUCACGGCGGACGGGUGAGUAAUGCCUAGGAAUCUGCCUGGUAGUGGGGGACAACGUUUCGAAAGGAACGCUAAUACCGCAUACGUCCUACGGGAGAAAGCAGGGGACCUUCGGGCCUUGCGCUAUCACAUGAGCCUAUGUCGGAUUAGCUAGUUGGUGAGGUAAUGGCUCACCAAGGCGACGAUCCGUAACUGGUCUGAGAGGAUGAUCAGUCACACUGGAACUGAGACACGGUCCACACUCCUACGGGAGGCAGCAGUGGGGAAUAUUGGACAAUGGGCGAAAGCCUGAUCCAGCCAUGCCGCGUGUGUGAAGAAGGUCUUCGGAUUGUAAAGCACUUUAAGUUGGGAGGAAGGGCAGUAAGUUAAUACCUUGCUGUUUUGACGUUACCGACAGAAUAAGCACCGGCUAACUCUGUGCCAGCAGCCGCGGUAAUACAGAGGGUGCAAGCGUUAAUCGGAAUUACUGGGCGUAAAGCGCGCGUAGGUGGUUCGUUAAGUUGGAUGUGAAAGCCCCGGGCUCAACCUGGGAACUGCAUCCAAAACUGGCGAGCUAGAGUACGGUAGAGGGUGGUGGAAUUUCCUGUGUAGCGGUGAAAUGCGUAUAUAUACGAAGGAACACCAGUGGCGCAAGGCGACCACCUGGACUGAUACUGACACUGAUGUGCGAAAGCGUGUGGAGCUCACACGAUUAGAUACCCUGCUAGUCCACGCCGUAUACGAUGUCAACUAGCCGUUGGAGUCCUUGAGAUUAUACUGCCGCACCUAACGCAUUAACUUGACCGCCUGUUUAGUACGGCCUCCCGGUUAGAACUCAGAUGAUUUGACUGGGGCUUGCACAACCAGCGGAGCAUGUGUUUUACUCGUAACUACGCAUAAAAACUUACCCCGCCUUGAUAUCCACAGCAGCUUUCCACAAAAUGAAUCGGUGCCUUCUUCUAACUCUA